GACAGCAGUAGCCGCGGGAAUACGGAGGGAGCUAGCGUUGUUCGGAAUUACUGGGCGUAAAGCGCGCGUAGGCGGUUACUCAAGUCAGAGGUGAAAGCCCGGGGCUCAACCCCGGAACUGCCUUUGAAACUAGGUGACUAGAAUCUUGGAGAGGUCAGUGGAAUUCCGAGUGUAGAGGUGAAAUUCGUAGAUAUUCGGAAGAACACCAGUGGCGAAGGCGACUUACUGGACAAGUAUUGACGCUGAGGUGCGAAAGCGUGGGGAGCAAACAGGAUUAGAUACCCGCGUAGUCCCUGUCUCUUAUAC
rnacentral:rRNA from 1 species